rnacentral:rRNA from 1 species
UACCAGCACCCCGAGUGGUCGGGACGUUUAUUGGGCCUAAAGCAUCCGUAGCCGGUUCUACGAGUCUUCCGUUAAAUCCACCUGCUUAACAGAUGGGCUGCGGAAGAUACUAUGGAGCUAGGAGGCGGGAGAGGCAAGCGGUACUCGAUGGGUAGGGGUAAAAUCCGUUGAUCCAUUGAAGACCACCAGUGGCGAAGGCGGCUUGCCAGAACGCGCUCGACGGUGAGGGAUGAAAGCUGGGGGAGCAAACCGG